GCCUGGUUGCCUGUGGGUGAGGGUCCCAGGCAGACACCCAGGUGAGGCCUUGCUUGAGCAAGAUCGUGGGCCUCCCACCUGAGGAUCUCCUCGGUAAAAUGAGCACCCCACUCCCCGCCUCACCCGGAGGGCUGUCAAGUGGGCCUGACACACAACAGGGCCU